rnacentral:tRNA from 1 species
GCCCAGGUGGCGGAAUUGGUAGACGCGCUAGACUCAAAAUCUGGUUCAUGCAAGUGAGUGAGGGUUCGAUUCCCUCCCUGGGCACCA